GAUGAACGCUGGCGGCGUGCCUAAUACAUGCAAGUCGAACGGGGAGUCGCAAUACUCUUCGUGGCGCACGGGUGAGUAACGGGUUGGUACCUGCCCCGAAGCGGGGGAUAACGGACCUAAAGGUCCGCUAAUACCCCCUGUGCUCAGUAACGAUUAGAGGUGAAGACCACUUUGGGAGGAGCAUGCGUCCCAUCAUCUAGUUAUUAGGGUAACGCCUUACGAAGGGGUUGACGGGUAGGGGACCAGAGAGGGUGGCCCCCCACAAUGGAGAGGAAACGCGGUCCAGAAAACUACGGGAUGGAGGAGAGGGGAAUAUAGGUAAGGGGCGAAAGCGUGAAACAGCAACGGAGCGUGAGCGAUGACGGCCUUGGGGUAGUAAAGGAAUUUUGACAGGGACGAGGAAGGACGGUACCGGUAGAAUAAGCCUCGGCUAACUACGUG
rnacentral:rRNA from 1 species